rnacentral:rRNA from 1 species
GAUGAACGCUGGCGGCGUGCCUAAUACAUGCAAGUCGAGCGAACGGACGAGAAGCUUGCUUCUCUGAUGUUAGCGGCGGACGGGUGAGUAACACGUGGAUAACCUACCUAUAAGACUGGGAUAACUUCGGGAAACCGGAGCUAAUACCGGAUAAUAUUUUGAACCGCAUGGUUCAAAAGUGAAAGACGGUCUUGCUGUCACUUAUAGAUGGAUCCGCGCUGCAUUAGCUAGUUGGUAAGGUAACGGCUUACCAAGGCAACGAUGCAUAGCCGACCUGAGAGGGUGAUCGGCCACACUGGAACUGAGACACGGUCCAGACUCCUACGGGAGGCAGCAGUAGGGAAUCUUCCGCAAUGGGCGAAAGCCUGACGGAGCAACGCCGCGUGAGUGAUGAAGGUCUUCGGAUCGUAAAACUCUGAUAUUAGGGAAGAACAUAUGUGUAAGUAACUGUGCACAUCUUGACGGUACCUAAUCAGAAAGCCACGGCUAACUACGUG